UGCGGCUGCUGAUCAAUUUUGUGACAUGAAGGAUGGUGGUGUCACGACCUGGCAGGAACAGACAGUGACCGCAGGAGACGGAAGAGGAGUGGAUCCAGAUGAGGAAAUAACCCACCGGUGAUGCAGUGUUCAGUAAAAAAGCAUGGGGGCAAAACGUACAAUUAAAGAAAUCAGGGAGAGAUGAGGAGGUCAGGUGGCUGUGGGUUGUAAAAUCCUGCAGUCCAGAAUUGAAACCUCAUACACCCCAAAUCUCUAUUACCUUUUCCUCACUCUUUUCCUUGUUACUUUUGCUCUUUGGUUCAGCAGUUUUUCUGAAUAUAAGAUAAUUCGUCUUAGACUGGGUGGCAGGGGACAGACUUCAGCUGGUGUGCAUGGGUCUAACUUCACACUGGCUGCGAAGCUGCUCCAGCACUCUUUGUUCUUUGUGCAGGAAAACAGAAGUGCCGAGAGACAUCAGCUGCGCCGUGCUAAUCGCAGCGCUCGUGGCUGGGCUCUCCUCAUCCGCUGCUUUUGUCACACAUCGCUUUGUACCGUUUUCCUGCAGUUUUGUCAGCCAGAAACAUUGCAUACAGGACCAUUGAAUAAUUGAGCUAUUGAAGAAUCAUAGCCAAACUCCAUCAUCAGACUACCCUCAAAGUCGGCUUUUGACCACUGAAUGAAAGGUGAUGCUGCCAAGCCAUCAGUGGCAAACAGUCAGAAUAUGAUUUCUACAGACCCUUCUAGCAUUAAACUUUAUCUGAUUGUGCUGAAUAUUGCUCAGUGUAUGUUCC
rnacentral:lncRNA from 1 species